CUUGUGUACAAAUUAUCUUUUUUUUUUUUUUUCCUUCACCUUCUGCUUUAUCAGAAUUUAGGGUCUGCAUCUUAAAGUGACAGGAUAAUGUUUCAGCUGGAAAUGAGGAGUGAGUGAAGUAAACUUACAGAUUUUGCCCCUCUCAUACUCACUUCCACAUGGAACUCUUGAAGUGACACGAUAACAGGCAAGCUGGAAGACUGUGUGGUAGAAGAGCUUGCAGCCUAUGAUUAGUCAACCACGUUCUAGGAAUACGAGUCCUUAGGGGACAGUCUUGCCAAUCCCAAAGCUGAAAGACAAGGUGCCUGAACAGGACCCCUCUGAGCUGACAGUGGGACAAACAGGUUCCAAGGGAUUAUUUGAUGAGAAGGAACUGUGCUGAUCCUCAUCUACUAAGGCAGUGGUAACGCAGGAUCUGGCUGGUAACAAGUCCUCAUCUCUGCUGAUAAUCACACUAUCUCUUGCCCACAGUACAUCUUUGUCUGAGGAACUUGGGAGAAAAUUAGAGCGAAACAGAUUUACUGGGCCGCAGGGUCUAAUUUACUGUAUUCACAGUCAGACAUUCAGCAAGAAAUAAGUGAGGGAAUAAGUGAGCAGAUUUUCUUCCUGCUUUCCUACUUGAGAAUAGAGUUCUAUGCUUUGGGUGACACCCACUGCAGCUUCACAGGAAGACAAAAUUAGUCAUCAAUAGUCAAGCUGAAAAUCUAAAUUGAUGUUCUCUAGAGAUCAAGGGUAAGGCCAGACUUUCCUUGUGGGAUACAGAUGAUGAAAAACUUCGGUUUCUCUUCUGUUGUACUCGAGUGAGUGGAACGAAUCAAGGUAAAAUUAUACAAAAC
rnacentral:lncRNA from 1 species